AACAGCAUUAAUUGGUAUUACGGUAUACUGUGCAUAUUGGUUUUAUAAGAAAUUUAUAGAACCCUUUCUGUUUGGUCAAAGAAAGAAGAGAAGUGUAGAGGAUAGGGUAACCGAAUUAGAUAAAACCGUCCAAGAUUCCAUGAAAGAAGUGAAAGACUCUAUUUCGAAGGUAGAAAGCGAAGUGCAAAAGCUGACUCAGCAUCAAGCAUUAGAUCCAACUAUCCCACAAUUGGUGCAAGAGCUUAAACACGAUUUAUCUAGUCUAAAAGCUUUACUUUUAUCAAG